AAGAGUACUGUAAUGAGUUGGAUGUAUAGCUUUGGCUGAAUGUGUCCCUUGUGCUUUUAGGAGGAUGGAGCAUGUUUGCCAUCCAGUAGUGACAGCUCGAAGUGCACAGGUGAGAGAGGGGAGACACAAGGAGAUGAUUGUACAUUGGUGUUUGUAGAAAGUCAAAGGAAUAUUACACUAAACUAGGGUUCUAUAGAUCUUUUUUUUAAUCCCAAAUUGAUCAUGAUGUUAAGGUUUAGGUCAUAUAACAAGUAUAUGGGGAUUUCAAAUGCAAAAUACAUACAUUCUUUUUUAAUGUCUCAUUUUGAAGUUAUUUGUUCAUCAUACACCAUAAUAACAUUUCCAUCCGCUUACAUAUUUGCAGAUGCUGAUUUCGGAGAAAUGAAGGAGCCUUUGACCGUGAACAUACUAACCAGGUAGUUCCGAUGAAAAGAUGCUGCUGGCUGGAGAGGUCUGGUGAAUCUCACACAAAAAAGGGUCACCACAAACAAAGAAGAAGUGGACCAAAGAGGAAAUCGAAGCUGUUGAAAGGACCUUAAUGGACUACAUCAAUGGUGGUCAGUGGUCAGAAAUGCAUCACAACAUCGUCACUGGCCGAUCAAGGGAUGAGUUGUCAAAAUAUAUAUUAAAAACUGAAUUUAAAAGAAUUAAAAAAAAGGUAAGCCGCAUUUUCAUCAGAUGGAAGAUUAAAUUCCUGGUGGACUGCCAGCACGUUUACAGACAUUGUUUACAGUAGUCUUAUUGCUCUCUGUUAUUGUUAUAUUUAUAUAAUAUUUGAAAGUUGAAAUGUUGUGC